rnacentral:lncRNA from 1 species
AAUCAGUGAUAAAAUUCGGUGAGUUCUCCUUCAUUCUCUUCGUGAUUCAUGGUUCAUCGUGUAGCUUCGAUUAAUCCUCUUCCUCUUUGAUCCCGCCACACGCAAUCUGAUUCGAGUUUGAAAAUCUAGCACACUAUACGAUUCCGAUAUGAUUCCAGAGCUUUGAAUCCGUUGAAGCCAAGCGUUAUCAUGGAUAAGACUGGUAGAGUGGUGUUUUGGAGGAUGGUUAAU